rnacentral:rRNA from 1 species
GUGAGGAAUAUUGGGCAAUGGGGGGAACCCUGACCCAGCCAUGCCGCGUGAGGGAAGUAGGCCCUACGGGUCGUGAACCUCUUUUGUCGGGGGACAAGGACGCCUACGAGAUGGGUGUUUGCGGGUACCCGGCGAAUAAGCAUCGGCUAACUCCGUGCCAGCAGCCGCGGUAAUACGGAGGAUGCGAGCGUUAUCCGGAUUCAUUGGGUUUAAAGGGUGCGCAGGCGGCCCGGUAAGUCAGCGGUGAAAGUCAGGGGCCCAACCCCGGAAGUGCCGUUGAUACUGUCGGGCUGGAAUGCGGUCGAGGCGGGCGGAAUGUGGUGUGUAGCGGUGAAAUGCAUAGAUAUGCCACAGAACGCCGAUAGCGAAGGCAGCUCGCCAGGCCUGCAUUGACGCUCGGGCACGAAAGCGUGGGGAUCAAACAGG